GAUGAACGCUGGCGGCGUGCCUAAUACAUGCAAGUCGAGCGAACAGAUGAGGAGCUUGCUCCUCUGACGUUAGCGGCGGACGGGUGAGUAACACGUGGAUAACCUACCUAUAAGACUGGGAUAACUUCGGGAAACCGGAGCUAAUACCGGAUAAUAUAUUGAACCGCAUGGUUCAAUAGUGAAAGACGGUUUUGCUGUCACUUAUAGAUGGAUCCGCGCCGCAUUAGCUAGUUGGUAAGGUAACGGCUUACCAAGGCAACGAUGCGUAGCCGACCUGAGAGGGUGAUCGGCCACACUGGAACUGAGACACGGUCCAGACUCCUACGGGAGGCAGCAGCAGGGAAUCUUCCGCAAUGGGCGAAAGCCUGACGGAGCAACGCCGCGUGAGUGAUGAAGGUCUUCGGAUCGUAAAACUCUGUUACUAGGGAAGAACAAAUGUGUAAGUAACUAUGCACGUCUUGACGGUACCUAAUCAGAAAGCCACGGCUAACUACGUG
rnacentral:rRNA from 1 species